UACGAAGGGGGCUAGCGUUGCUCGGAAUUACUGGGCGUAAAGCGCGCGUAGGCGGCUUUGUAAGUUAGAGGUGAAAGCCCGGGGCUCAACUCCGGAACUGCCUUUAAGACUGCAUCGCUUGAAUCCGGGAGAGGUGAGUGGAAUUCCGAGUGUAGAGGUGAAAUUCGUAGAUAUUCGGAAGAACACCAGUGGCGAAGGCGGCUCACUGGACCGGUAUUGACGCUGAGGUGCGAAAGCGUGGGGAGCAAACAGG
rnacentral:rRNA from 1 species